GAGUCGGCCUGCGCGGAAGAUGUAACGGGGCUAAACCAUGCACCGAAGCUGCGGCAGCGACACUGUGUGUUGUUGGGUAGGGGAGCGUUCUGUAAGCCUGUGAAGGUGUGUCGUGAGGCAUGCUGGAGGUAUCAGAAGUGCGAAUGCUGACAUAAGUAACGAUAAAGCGGGUGAAAAGCCCGCUCGCCGGAAGACCAAGGGUUCCUGUCCAACGUUAAUCGGGGCAGGGUGAGUCGACCCCUAAGGCGAGGCCGAAAGGCGUAGUCGAUGGGAAACGGGUUAAUAUUCCCGUACUUGGUGUUACUGCGAAGGGGGGACGGAGAAGGCUAUGUUGGCCGGGCGACGGUUGUCCCGGUUUAAGCGUGUAGGUGUGUGUUCCAGGUAAAUCCGGUUCACUUUAACACUGAGGCGUGACGACGAGGCACUACGGUGCUGAAGCAACAAAUGCCCUGCUUCCAGGAAAAGCCUCUAAGCAUCAGGUAACAUCAAAUCGUACCCCAAACCGACACAGGUGGUCAGGUAGAGAAUACCAAGGCGCUUGAGAGAACUCGGGUGAAGGAACUAGGCAAAAUGGUGCCGUAACUUCGGGAGAAGGCACGCUGACACGUAGGUGAAGUGAUUUACUCAUGGAGCUGAAGUCAGUCGAAGAUACCAGCUGGCUGCAACUGUUUAUUAAAAACACAGCACUGUGCAAACACGAAAGUGGACGUAUACGGUGUGACGCCUGCCCGGUGCCGGAAGGUUAAUUGAUGGGGUCAGCGCAAGCGAAGCUCCUGAUCGAAGCCCCGGUAAACGGCGGCCGUAACUAUAACGGUCCUAAGGUAGCGAAAUUCCUUGUCGGGUAAGUUCCGACCUGCACGAAUGGCGUAAUGAUGGCCAGGCUGUCUCCACCCGAGACUCAGUGAAAUUGAACUCGCUGUGAAGAUGCAGUGUACCCGCGGCAAGACGGAAAGACCCCGUGAACCUUUACUAUAGCUUGACACUGAACAUUGAGCCUUGAUGUGUAGGAUAGGUGGGAGGCUUUGAAGUGUGGACGCCAGUCUGCAUGGAGCCGACCUUGAAAUACCACCCUUUAAUGUUUGAUGUUCUAACGUGGACCCGUUACCCGGGUUGCGGACAGUGUCUGGUGGGUAGUUUGACUGGGGCGGUCUCCUCCUAAAGAGUAACGGAGGAGCACGAAGGUUGGCUAAUCCUGGUCGGACAUCAGGAGGUUAGUGCAAUGGCAUAAGCCAGCUUGACUGCGAGCGUGACGGCGCGAGCAGGUGCGAAAGCAGGUCAUAGUGAUCCGGUGGUUCUGAAUGGAAGGGCCAUCGCUCAACGGAUAAAAGGUACUCCGGGGAUAACAGGCUGAUACCGCCCAAGAGUUCAUAUCGACGGCGGUGUUUGGCACCUCGAUGUCGGCUCAUCACAUCCUGGGGCUGAAGUAGGUCCCAAGGGUAUGGCUGUUCGCCAUUUAAAGUGGUACGCGAGCUGGGUUUAGAACGUCGUGAGACAGUUCGGUCCCUAUCUGCCGUGGGCGCUGGAGAACUGAGGGGGGCUGCUCCUAGUACGAGAGGACCGGAGUGGACGCAUCACUGGUGUUCGGGUUGUCAUGCCAAUGGCACUGCCCGGUAGCUAAAUGCGGAAGAGAUAAGUGCUGAAAGCAUCUAAGCACGAAACUUGCCCCGA
rnacentral:rRNA from 1 species